CUGAGGGGAGAGGCGGCGGCGCYUGAGGGGAGGCGCGUGAUUCCCGUCGGGAAAGCCCCUCCAUUCCCCUCUUAUCGCCCUGAUGUUGACUAAGCUGCGGGAAACGCAGCGCAGCGUUGGCUGCAAAAAUUGGAAAUUUGGUGAAUUUUCUGAAUAUUGGGCCUUUCCCAUCGGUGCUGCGAGGCGAGCCUGUUUUCUCUAACGCUGCAAGGUGGCAGCCUACAACUUCCAAGGCUGCCUUCAAUGUCAGGGGAGAAGUGACCAGAGGAAGGUCAUCAGAGGGCCCCGAAGGUGCUUUGGGCUGUUUAUUAGGCCCAUUUAUUAGGGCCCUGCUCUCAUCUGGACGCUUGGAGCCAUUUUAGGGCUUCCCUCCCUAGGGGAAAGGAGCAAGAAGCCAAAGCAAAACUCAGGAUGGAGGAGGAAAUGUGAAAUGAAGGGCAGAAAACCAAGCUCGGGAGGCAGAAGCUGGAGCCAGUUGAUGUGUGAAGUGUUUCUCCUUCCAAGCAGCGCUGGUGCUGACACCUUUUGCUUUGUCAUCUCAAGGCAGCUUGGCCUAAAACACAGGAAAAGAGUGGCGAGAAUUCUCAUGGACAGAGGGGAAAGUGUUUCGUUCUCCUUUGCUGCAAAAAAAGAGCCCUGCGGUCUGAAAUACGCUCGCCGCUGCUGCAUCAAGCGUGUUUUACCCCAUCUCUUGAUAUAUCACAAUGGAAAAAGCACAGAAUAUUGAGUAAGCCUCUUGUGAAGGAGCUGAAGGGAGCAGCCUGGGAUGCCGUGYGUGCUUUUCAAUAUAAAGAACAUGCUGCUUACAAUAUCUUGGAAAUUCAGGGUAUUCCAUGAUGGUGGUGGCCCGUGAAUGGAGCAGUCACCACGCAGCAGCCUCCCUKCACAUCAGGGCCAGCCCUGCUGCCUGCAUUUGAGACUUUUUCACCUGGAAUAUUGGCAGCAGAAGGAAAAUAGGGAAGUGUUGCUAUUUCCACCAUCUGUCUCUGGCAUUUCCACUGCCCGGCGUGUGACUUG